CAGAGAGUGCAAACGUUGUUCGGAAUUACUGGGCUUGAAGCGCACGUAGGCGGCAUCGUAAGUGUCGGGUGAAAUCCCACGGCUCACCCGUGGAACUGCCCGGCAUACUGCGAUGCUAGAGUGUGGUAGGGGAGAGCGGAACUCCUGGUGGAGCGGUGAAAUGCGUAGAUAUCAGGAGGAACACCGGUGGCGGAGGCGGCUCUCUGGUCCACAACUGACGCUGAGGUGCGAAAGCUAGGGGAGCAAACGGGAUUAGAUACCCCGGUAGUCCUAGCUGUAAACGAUGGGCACUAGCUUGGGGUCUCCCUGUGUGAUCCCAGGUGAAGCAAAAGUGAUAAGUGCCCCGCCUGGGGAGUAUGGUCGCAAGGCUG
rnacentral:rRNA from 1 species